AUGAAGCCCAGCUUGCUGGGCGGAUUAGUGGCGAACGGGUGAGUAACACGUGAGCAACCUGCCCCUGACUCUGGGAUAACAGCCGGAAACGGUUGCUAAUACCGGAUACGCAUCAUGGCCGCAUGGUCUGUGGUGGGAAAGAUUUCUCGGUUGGGGAUGGGCUCGCGGCCUAUCAGCUUGUUGGUGAGGUAGUGGCUCACCAAGGCGUCGACGGGUAGCCGGCCUGAGAGGGUGACCGGCCACACUGGGACUGAGACACGGCCCAGACUCCUACGGGAGGCAGCAGUGGGGAAUAUUGCACAAUGGGCGGAAGCCUGAUGCAGCAACGCCGCGUGAGGGACGACGGCCUUCGGGUUGUAAACCUCUUUUAGCAGGGAAGAAGCGAGAGUGACGGUACCUGCAGAAAAAGCGCCGGCUAACUACGUGCCAGCAGCCGCGGUAAUACGUAGGGCGCAAGCGUUAUCCGGAAUUAUUGGGCGUAAAGAGCUCGUAGGCGGUUUGUCGCGUCUGCUGUGAAAUCCCGAGGCUCAACCUCGGGUCUGCAGUGGGUACGGGCAGACUAGAGUGCGGUAGGGGAGAUUGGAAUUCCUGGUGUAGCGGUGGAAUGCGCAGAUAUCAGGAGGAACACCGAUGGCGAAGGCAGAUCUCUGGGCCGUUACUGACGCUGAGGAGCGAAAGGGUGGGGAGCAAACAGGCUUAGAUACCCUGGUAGUCCACCCCGUAAACGUUGGGAACUAGUUGUGGGGGCCUUUCCACGGUCUCCGUGACGCA
rnacentral:rRNA from 1 species